rnacentral:rRNA from 1 species
UCUAAUACCGGAUACCACUCCUGCCCGCAUGGGUAGGGGUUGAAAGCUCCGGCGGUGAAGGAUGAGCCCGCGGCCUAUCAGCUUGUUGGUGGGGUAAUGGCCCACCAAGGCGACGACGGG